GUGCAGCAGUCGCGAAACCUUCGCAAUAAGCGAAAGCUUGACGGGGUUAUCCCGAGUGUCAUCCGCUGAGGGUGACUUUUACCCAGUGUAGAUAGCUGGGGGAAUAAGGAGAGGGCAAGUCUGGUGUCAGCCGCCGCGGUAAUACCAGCUCUCCGAGUGGUGGGGACGCUUACUGGGCCUGAAGCAUCCGUAGCUGGCUGGGCAAGUCCCCUGUUAAAACCAGCGAUCUAAUCGUUGGACUGCGGGGGAUACUGCUCGGCUAGGGGGCGGGAGAGGCCGACGGUAUUCCCGGGGUAGGGGUGAAAUCUUAUAAUCCCGGGAGGACCACCAGUGGCGAAGGCUGUCGGCUGGAACGCGCUCGACGGUGAGGGAUGAAAGCUGGGGGAGCGAACCGGAUUAGAUACCCGGGUAGUCC
rnacentral:rRNA from 1 species